GUAACUUUGUGACUUUCCCCAGAAGCGUACGUAGAGGUACGUGCUUGUGACUAGCUUCUCACUCUGAGCAUACACAGUCGAGAUGCAGCCUUGGCUCUAGGGAUUCUUCAUACUCUUCCGAAGGUCUGUAUGGAAAAACAUCUUGGAAUGGCCAGAGGCAGCAGUGAGACUGGCAGAACUCUGUUAAACACACAUAGGCAAACACUUGGCGCUUCCUGCUUAGAGACAGCCGGCUGCAAGGACAGGAGAUGAAAGUAACCCAAGCCCUCUCCAUGCUGAUGUAGAGCUGCUGUUGUGCAUGCAUUCAUAUCUCUGUGUCCAACAUAGUUUUAAGUAGACCAAGUAGUGGAGCUUCUGCCACUUCACUCUGGAGAGAUAAUUUCACGUAUCUUUUCCUGAUACUCCAUGUUUUCCUUUUCUGCCUUUAUCCUUGAAUGCUAAUUCCAGCCUGGUCUGCUCUGCUAAUUGGAUCCUUGCUCUUCAUAGUAUUUAAACCCAGAAGAUCAUUCUGGGUCAUCGCUUUGCAAUGAGUGAAUGACCAGGGGCUGGAUGUGAGCUGACCACUUCUGGAUCCAUGGCUUUCAGAUUCCAGCAGGGAAUAACAAGGGAUAGCUGGUGGUAAAAUGCAGCUGGAGAGCACACGUCUGUGUGGGCAUUGCGCUUCCAGCAACACCCCUAUGCAAGAGCCAGCUCUUUGGUAUCACCAAAGGAUCAAUGUGACUUGCAACAUAGAUCUCACAUCAGAAAUAAAAACUGAAGCUGUCUUGCUUUUCCUUAAAGAAGAAAAGUUUAGUCUUUUGAAAUAUUGCCAACAAUGACUACUUUCAGAACCUCUCACAUAGUUUGGAUGCCAAAGUCACGCUGAAAGUCAGUGAAGUUGAAGAUUUUAACUUGCACUGUAAAUGUGAGUUAAAGGCUUUAAGGGUGAAGCCUCUGUCCCUGGAGAGGAUCUGGACAAGUCUCCUUUAUCCUUCAGGUUCUGGGCUGAUUCGUAGGACCGAGAGGUGGGAGAGAGGUCACAGAGGGCUCCUGCUAUCUACAAAUAUGCUGCUCAUAAGUAAGUUUUGGAGGAGAUGGCUGGAUCCAUUCUUACAGAGAUGGUUUCUCUUGUUAAGAAAUGUCUGAAGAAGCAUAGUGCUUGGCGGUUUUCCUUAAUGCUGUAGAGAAGUGCCUUGGUGAGCCCCUUACCUCAUGUGCACGUUUCCAGGUUCGUUUGAAAUGUGGAGAAGAGUGAAGACGAAGCACAGUGGCUCAGAAAGCAAUGAACACAAUGCUUCUCAUUUUAAGAGUCUCAUAAUUAAACCAUUAAAGAUUGCUGGGGCUAGCAAUACCAUGUCUACGGGGAGCUAAUUACUUGUACAACUGGUAAAAUACCAUGACAACAACAAAGGACAUCUUACAGACAAGGAAUGCUGACAAGAUCCUGCCCUGAAGCGUGCAGCUGGAAGGCCCAGCCUGUACCCUCCCAAGUCAGUGGAAUGUCUCCUGUGAACAACUGCAACUUGGGACCUGCAUUUCUGCUGUCAAGGUGAUUAGUAAAGAUGCAGUAAACACUAACAAGAUAUACAGAUCAGGGAGGUGUGAGCUGGUGCGGAUAUACUGCAGCCGUACAUCUGUAAGGCUGGCUGCUGCCUCACCAGCAGAGCACUGGGCCAGGGGCUUGCUGAUUCACUCUUUCCUGUUUUUCAUUUUGCUCCUUCAUGGAGAUCAUGGUGUUGUCUCCAAGUCUCUCCAAGGGCAUUUGCUUUGGUGUUCUUUUUUUUCCUUCUCAUCAAUACCCC
rnacentral:lncRNA from 1 species